rnacentral:rRNA from 1 species
UACAGAGGUCUCAAGCGUUGUUCGGAUUCAUUGGGCGUAAAGGGUGCGCAGGCGGUAUCGUAAGUCGGGUGUGAAAUCCUGAGGCUCAACCUCAGAACUGCACUCGAUACUGCGGUGCUAGAGGACUGGAGAGGUGAUUGGAAUUCACGGUGUAGCAGUGAAAUGCGUAGAUAUCGUGAGGAAGGCCAAAGGCGAAGGCAGAUCACUGGACAGUUCCUGACGCUCAGGCACGAAGGCCAGGGGAGCAAACGGG